CCAGCCCUGAAAAUUCCAGCUCCUGCAGCCCUUGCUCCCAAUCCACGGCCUUCUGGCCACACCCUCUGUAGGGCUCCAGAACUGGCUCCUGCUUUUUCCCAGGGCUGAGCUAUUCCCUGGACUCUGGGGCCCACUCCAGAGAGCGUGGGCCAGCCCGAGGAGGCAAGCCCGGAGGAGCAGCCAGAGGAGGCGAGUGCUGAGGAGGAGCGGCUGGAGGACCAGGAGGAGGAGGAGGCG
rnacentral:sRNA from 1 species